rnacentral:rRNA from 1 species
UACGUAGGGUGCGAGCGUUAAUCGGAAUUACUGGGCGUAAAGCGUGCGCAGGCGGUUUGUAAGCCAGAUGUGAAAUCCCCGGGCUUAACCUGGGAAUGGCAUUUGGGACUGCAAGGCUUGAGUUUGGCAGAGGAGACUGGAAUUCCUGGUGUAGCAGUGAAAUGCGUAGAUAUCAGGAGGAACACCGGUGGCGAAGGCGGUUCUCUGGGCCUGUACUGACGCUGAGGAACGAAAGCGUGGGGAGCGAACAGG